rnacentral:rRNA from 1 species
UACGGGGGGGAGCAAGCGUUGUUCGGAUUUACUGGGCGUAAAGGGUGCGUAGGCGGCGCGGUAAGUCGGGUGUGAAAUUUCGAGGCUUAACUUCGAAACUGCAUUCGAUACUGCCGUGCUUGAGGACUGGAGAGGAGACUGGAAUUUACGGUGUAGCGGUGAAAUGCGUAGAUAUCGUAAGGAAGACCAGUGGCGAAGGCGGGUCUCUGGACAGUUCCUGACGCUGAGGCACGAAGGCCAGGGGGAGCAAACGGG